CAGUCGCCACGGUAAUACGUAGGGUGCGAGCGUUAAUCGGAAUUACUGGGCGUAAAGCGUGCGCAGGCGGUUGUGUAAGACAGGUGUGAAAUCCCCGGGCUUAACCUGGGAACUGCGCUUGUGACUGCACAGCUAGAGUAUGGCAGAGGGGGGUGGAAUUCCACGUGUAGCAGUGAAAUGCGUAGAGAUCGGAAGGAGCAUCAGUGGCGAAGGCAGCCCCCUGGGCCAAUACUGACGCUCAUGCACGAAAGCGUGGGGAGCAAACAGGAUUAGAUACCCCCGUAGUCCCUGUCUCUUAUAC
rnacentral:rRNA from 1 species